GCGCCCGCCCCGCGCGCCCCUGCGCUCCCCGCGCCGCUCACCGGGGUCCCGCGGCGCUCGCAGGCCGCGCCGCCCCCUCGCCCUGCGACCCCGAGGCCCGUCUGACCCGCCGGCGCCCGGGGCCGCCCGGGGCGGUCCUGCGAGCCGGGGAGAAGGGAAAGGCGGCGGUGCCGAGCGCAGCGGGAUGCUGAGCCGGGCCCGGCCUGCCGCAUCUUCUGCCUCUCGCCCUUGCCCGGCCCCACCCGGCCCUGCCCGGGCAGCACGCACUUCUCUGGGGGCCCAGAAUUCCCCCGAUCCUGCCAGGCGCUCCCGCGGGCGGAGUGCAGGCUGCAGAACUGGAGGGCGUGCUGGGAAAUUCCCUGGCCGCCCCAGGCACCGGGAGAGUUAACUGAGCUGCCUGCAGCCGCGCUGUAAACAAAUCGUUUAAAAUAUCUGGAGUCAGUAAGUUAAGUGAAAGGGAGGAAACCUCUUCUGACAGGACCUGCAGUUUGGCCUACAGCGGGGGUCCCAGCAUCCUCCAGCUGGCCGUCCCUGGAAACUAACCUUCUUUCUUUUUAUUUCUUACUGGGAGAGGGGACAGGCCUCUGGGUGUAGACUGUUAACUUCUCGCCCCAUCUCCUGUCUGUAGAGUGGCAUAUUGUCAGCUGGAAGGAUGACAGAGUAUCCUUGUGGCUGCUAAAAAUCAGGUCCUUUUUAUUAUGACUUCCUUGAUUGUAAAGAACAGUCCUCCCCCCUUCCCUUACUUUUACAAACGUGCUGAGAAGCCCGUGCCUAGAUCAGGACCAUGGCCCUGUUUUUCCACCACAGCUGGCCGAAACCAGAACCCUCCCUCAGUUGCCUGACUUUCCUGUCCUCUUGGCCACAGCUCUGGGAGCCUCACUGAGGAUUCCAGAGAAUUCCUGGAGAGAACGGUACAGAGCAGUGUGGUUAUACUCCAUCACUUGCACCAAACCCCCAAUUCCCUGUGGUUCCGGAGGCCUUUCCCAUACUCUCCCCUUUGUUCAUUCUCAACAAGAAGGACCACUGACUGGAGCCACCAGAAAUCUAGACCCUUGGAGAGAAGUCACAGGAUCCCUCCAUCAGUCCUCCUCACCUCCCUGACCUCUGAAUGAGGAUUAACCAACUAAGUCUGGACAACAUGUGGAAGAAGAAAAGACCAAUAAGAAUUCUUACCUAUCUGGGUUGGNGCCGCCCCAGGCACCGGGAGAGUUAACUGAGCUGCCUGCAGCCGCGCUGUAAACAAAUCGUUUAAAAUAUCUGGAGUCAGUAAGUUAAGUGAAAGGGAGGAAACCUCUUCUGACAGGACCUGCAGUUUGGCCUACAGCGGGGGUCCCAGCAUCCUCCAGCUGGCCGUCCCUGGAAACUAACCUUCUUUCUUUUUAUUUCUUACUGGGAGAGGGGACAGGCCUCUGGGUGUAGACUGUUAACUUCUCGCCCCAUCUCCUGUCUGUAGAGUGGCAUAUUGUCAGCUGGAAGGAUGACAGAGUAUCCUUGUGGCUGCUAAAAAUCAGGUCCUUUUUAUUAUGACUUCCUUGAUUGUAAAGAACAGUCCUCCCCCCUUCCCUUACUUUUACAAACGUGCUGAGAAGCCCGUGCCUAGAUCAGGACCAUGGCCCUGUUUUUCCACCACAGCUGGCCGAAACCAGAACCCUCCCUCAGUUGCCUGACUUUCCUGUCCUCUUGGCCACAGCUCUGGGAGCCUCACUGAGGAUUCCAGAGAAUUCCUGGAGAGAACGGUACAGAGCAGUGUGGUUAUACUCCAUCACUUGCACCAAACCCCCAAUUCCCUGUGGUUCCGGAGGCCUUUCCCAUACUCUCCCCUUUGUUCAUUCUCAACAAGAAGGACCACUGACUGGAGCCACCAGAAAUCUAGACCCUUGGAGAGAAGUCACAGGAUCCCUCCAUCAGUCCUCCUCACCUCCCUGACCUCUGAAUGAGGAUUAACCAACUAAGUCUGGACAACAUGUGGAAGAAGAAAAGACCAAUAAGAAUUCUUACCUAUCUGGGUUGGAUUACAAAAUGUUCAGCCCCCUUGUCUUCCCCCAGCUCUGAAGUAGUCCUUCCUUUAUUAGCAUCCACAACUAAUGUGCAAAAUGCAAAACAAUUAAGAUAGAGUAUCAACAUAGUUUGAGAAAAUGGAAUUUUUAUUUUACAAGCCGACAACUCUCAGCCCCUCAUUAGUUGAAGGUAGUAACAUGGCUACAAAAGAACAAAGAGAAUGUGAAUAGGGGAGAAAGUACAGGUGUGAAGGGCUAACUUCCCAAAUCCCAAUCUACAGUGCAUUUGAAGAGAAGAAAAAAAAAAUCUGUCUUCCUAAUAUCUCCUUAGCAUAAGCCUUGUUGGAAAUGUUUGCUCUGGCAAAAGUGAGAUGCCUGAGACAUCCAGACAGCAUUCCCAGGAACAAAGGAAGGGGGUGGAGGGUGGAGGAGAGUGAGAAGAACAGCCCCUCUCUGGAAGAACUGCAAGUUCCCCUGCCUGAACAAGAAAUGCAUCCUGUCCCUGUGCUCAGGGCUGCAGCCUGGAAGCUUCUCCAGUAAGGAGACCUCCCACCCCUCACAGAGAUCUGGCUUUCCUUCCCUUCCCACCACAUCUGUUUAUACAAAGAGGGGCUGCUGGAGAACAAACAGAACCAUGUUUACUGGGAGUCCCAUCCUGGGCUUGAAGCUUAAGAUACAGAUUGGCCCUCACCACCACAGAGACUGAUGAUAAAUAGAUGGUCCCAGAAAAGGAAAGAGAGAAAGCACUGGGGGGUAUAGAGCUGGUGGAGUGGUUUACUCAAAAAAGGCCUCUCCUCAAAAGUCACAUAGUAAUGGGUAGAUUUAUAUUUGCAUUUAAACACAGUGCCUCGUGUUAAUACAUGAAUGUACUUUGAGCCCAAAGCAAUUUCAGUGUGGGUAUUUAUCUAUCUUCGGGAAUAGCCCUUAUUUUCUGUUUGGGGCCUGUAACAUAGAGGAAGUUAUGUUAAUACAUUUAUUUCCAGUGUAUGUUUUUGUGUAUAGUGUCCAGUUGGAGAACAUGGUCUUUUUUUUUUUUUAACAUUUAUUAUUUUUGAGAGAGAGAGAGCACGAGCAGGGGAGAGGCAGAGAGAGAGGGAGACACAGAAUCUGAAGCAGGCUCCAGGCUCUGAGCUGUCAGCACAGAACCCGAUGCGGGGCUCCAACUCACAAGCAGUGAGAUCAUGACCUGAGACGAAGUCAGACAUCCAACAGACUGAGCCAUCCAGGCACCCCGAGAAUAUGGUCUUUUGAAGAAACCCAAAUCAUACCUGUAGGUAGCAUUUUUACCAAGUUGUCAUAGAAAUAAAUUAAUAGCACUUGCAAGUAAGAUGUAGAGCAGUUAAUGAGAACCUUUAUAGGGUGAUCUUUUUAUUAUUUUUAUUUACCUGGUGGAUUAAGAUGUUCCCAUUAUCUUCUAGACUCUAGAUACACAUACCAAAACAAGUGCUCAAUCUAGCUGUCAAAACUUUAAAUCCUUAAUAAGAAGCAAAAAAAGUUUGGACUUCCUGGGAUUAGAAUGCCAGAACUAAAAGGGAGGUUUU
rnacentral:lncRNA from 1 species